AGGUGUGAUCAUACCAGCACUAAUGCACCGGAUCCCAUCAGAACUCCGCAGAUAAGCGUGCUUGGCCGAGAGUAGUACUAAGAUGGGUGACCUCCUUGGAAGUCCUCGUGUUGCAUUUC
rnacentral:rRNA from 1 species